GACAGAGGUGCCGAGCGUUAGGCGGAAUCACUGGGCUUAAAGCGUGUGUAGGCGGGUGCCUAAGUACCUUGUGAAAUCCCACGGCUCAACCGUGGAACUGCUUGGUAUACUGGGUAUCUUGAGCCACCUAGGGGCAACCGGAACAAACGGUGGAGCGGUGAAAUGCGUAGAUAUCGUUUGGAACGCCAAUGGUGAAAACAGGUUGCUGGGAGUGUGCUGACGCUGAGACACGAAAGCCAGGGGAGCAAACGGG
rnacentral:rRNA from 1 species